rnacentral:rRNA from 1 species
GACAGAGGUGCCAAGCGUUAGGCGGAAUCACUGGGCUUAAAGCGUGUGUAGGCGGAUUCGUAAGUACCUUGUGAAAUCCCACGGCUUAACCGUGGAACUGCUCGGUAUACUGCGUAUCUUGGGCCAUCUAGGGGCUACCGGAACAAGUGGUGGAGCGGUGAAAAUGCGUAGAUAUCACUUUGGAACGCCAAUGGUGAAAACAGGUAGCUGGGGGAUGUGCCGACUGAGACACGAAAGCCAGGGGAGCGAACGGG